rnacentral:rRNA from 1 species
GAACGAACGCUGGCGGCGCGUCUUAAGCAUGCAAGUCGAACGGCAAGAGGUAGCAAUACCUCCUAGAGUGGCGGACUGGUGAGUAACACGUGGGUGACAUACCCUUCAGAUGGGGAUAGCUAUUAGAAAUAGUAGAUAAUACCGAAUACGAGCACAGGGGUUAGAGAUCUGUGAGGAAAGGAGCUAAGGCUCCGCUGAAGGAAUGGCCUGCGGCCCAUUAGCUAGUUGGUGAGGUAAGAGCCCACCAAGGCGAUGAUGGGUAUCCGGCCUUAGAGGGUGAACGGACACAUUGGGACUGAGAUACGGCCCAGACUCCUACGGGAGGCAGCAGCUAAGAAUAUUCCGCAAUGGACGAAAGUCUGACGGAGCGACGCCGCGUGGAUGAAGAAGGCCGGAAGGUUGUAAAAUCCUUUUGAAACUGAAGAAUAAGCGUUGUAGGGAAUGACAGCGUGGUGACAGUAGGUUUUGAAUAAGCAACGGCUAAUUACGUGCCAGCAGCCGC